GAUGAACGCUGGCGGCGUGCCUAAUACAUGCAAGUCGAGCGAACAGACGAGGAGCUUGCUCCUCUGACGUUAGCGGCGGACGGGUGAGUAACACGUGGAUAACCUACCUAUAAGACUGGGAUAACUUCGGGAAACCGGAGCUAAUACCGGAUAAUAUAUUGAACCGCAUGGUUCAAUAGAGAAAGACGGUUUUGCGGUCACUUAUAGAUGGAUCCGCGCCGCAUUAGCUAGUUGGUAAGGUAACGGCUUACCAAGGCAACGAUGCGUAGCCGACCUGAGAGGGUGAUCGGCCACACUGGAACUGAGCCACGGUCCAGGCUCCUACGGGAGGCAGCAGUAGGGAAUCUUCCGCAAUGGGCGGAAGCCUGACGGAGCAACGCCGCGUGAGUGAUGAAGGUCUUCGGAUCGUAAAGCUCUGUUAUUAGUGGAGAACAAAUGUGUAAGUAACUAUGCACGUCUUGACGGUACCUAGUCAGAAAGCCACGGCUAACUACGUG
rnacentral:rRNA from 1 species